AGCGAACGCUGGCGGCAGGCCUAACACAUGCAAGUCGAACGGAUCCUUCGGGAUUAGUGGCGGACGGGUGAGUAACACGUGGGAACGUGCCCUUUGGUUCGGAACAACUCAGGGAAACUUGAGCUAAUACCGGAUGUGCCCUUCGGGGGAAAGAUUUAUCGCCAUUGGAGCAGCCCGCGUCUGAUUAGCUAGUUGGUGAGGUAAAGGCUCACCAAGGCGACGAUCAGUAGCUGGUCUGAGAGGAUGAUCAGCCACAUUGGGACUGAGACACGGCCCAGACUCCUACGGGAGGCAGCAGUGAGGAAUGUUCCGCAAUGGGCGAAAGCCUGACGGAGCGACACCGCGUGAAGGAUGAAGCUUUUCGGAGUGUAAACUUCUUUUAUGUGUGAAGAUUAUGACGGUAACAUAUGAAUAAGCACCGGCUAACUACGUGCCAGCCGCCGCCGUAA
rnacentral:rRNA from 1 species